rnacentral:sRNA from 1 species
UGCGGAAGGAUCAUUAAAGAAUCGCCCCGUUUUUUGAAAUGGGUUCUAUUCCCAAACCGUGUAUACAUACCUUUGUUGCUUUGGCAGGCCGUCUUUUAGGCGUCGGCUCCGGCUGACUGCGCUUGCCAGAGGACCCAAACUCGUUUGUUUAGUGAUGUCUGAGUACUAUAUAAUAGUUAAAACUUUCAACAACGGAUCUCUUGGUUCUGGCAUCGAUGAAGAACGCAGCGAAAUGCGAUAAGUAAUGUGAAUUGCAGAAUUCAGUGAAUCAUCGAAUCUUUGAACGCACAUUGCGCCCCUUGGUAUUCCGAGGGGCAUGCCUGUUCGAGCGUCAUUAUAACCACUCAAGCCUCGGCUUGGUCUUGGGGUUCGCGGUAUCGCGGCCCUUAAAAUCAGUGGCGGUGCCGUCUGGCUCUAAGCGUAGUAAUUCUCUCGCUAUAGGGUCCCGGCGGUUACCUGCCAGAACCCCCCCAUUUUUUACGGUUGACCUCGGAUCAGGUAGGGAUACCCGCUGAACUUAAGCAUAU